UCACGAGUCUUGCUGGUCAUGUUUUUUUGUAUAAGACCCACACCCAACCAACUCCCUCCGCCUUUCCAUACACAAUUACACACCCUCCGUCACCUCCUCAUCCUCUUCAUUCUCUUGUAUCUUUCUCUCUCUCACUACGUUCCAGUUUUAGGGUUCUUAAGCUUCUCAUUUACCUGCGGAAGAAGAAUUGCAGAUUGUUAAUGGAGGAGUGAGUAGUCUCUCCCCCAUCCCCCCUCUCUCUACCUCUCUCUAUCUGCUUUGUAAACAUAUACCCGUACAAAUAAGCUAUCAUGGCGACGGUGCCCACGAAGAAUCAGCAACGACUGCAUAAUUUCUCGCUUCCAUUCCUAAAAUGGGGACAGAGAACCCAAAUCAACAACAACUGCCGCCGCCGCUACCGCAACUUUCCUCUCACCGACUCAGACCUCAAUAAUGACCGUAAACCUCAUCGGUUUCAUAAUCGGGAGAGUAAAGACACAAAAACGAAAGAAGAGGAAGAAAACGGGGGAGUUUUGUUGGAUAGAGGCGAUAACACCGGGAAAUCAUCGGAUGUGGCUGCGGCAGCUGAUGGAGACGUUAAGCCAUGGAAUCUGAGGCCGAGGAGGUUCGUGAUCAAUACUGCUGAUGGUAAUGGUGCGGUUAUGGGGGUGAAUAGUGCAAAGUCAGGGUGGUUGUUGAGAGGUGGUGCGUCGGCGGCGGCGGCGGAUGAGGAGAAGAUUAAGGAGAAGGAGAAGGAGAAGGAAGAGGAUCAGAUGAAGAAGAAGAGGAGAUUAUGGAUCUCGUUGUCGAAGGAAGAGAUUGAAGAAGAUGUAUAUGCGUUCACUGGAUCAAAACCAGCUCGAAGGCCUAAGAAAAGGAACAAAACCGCGCAGAAACAAGUCGAUAAUGUUUUUCCUGGGCUAUACUUGGUUGGAAUUUCAGCUGAUUCAUAUCGAGUUUAAACUUCACAGUUCAUACUAUUAAGCUUUCAUCUGUUGCAGAAGCAGAGACUAGAGAGUAGAGACAGAUGAAAUUGAUCAAAUCACAAUCUACUUGGAAGAGAAAAGAAGCCUCAUUUCGAGAUAGAGUGAUCAUCAAUGGAACAUAGUGAAGAACAAUCUAGUAAGUUCCUCUACUUAAUGUCAAUUACUUUUUGCAUACAUUUUUAUAGUUAAAUGCAAGAAAUAGAAAUGUACUUUUGUUGAUUUGUUUAUUAUAGCAUUUUACUUUCAUUUCUUUGAAUUAUAACAUUGUACUUUAGAAAAAUAUAUCUAAUUAUAGAAUGCCAUUUAAAUUCUAA